GACGAACGCUGGCGGCGUGCUUAACACAUGCAAGUCGAACGGAAAGGCCCUGCUUGCAGGGUGCUCGAGUGGCGAACGGGUGAGUAACACGUGGGUGAUCUGCCCCUUACUUUGGGAUAAGCCUGGGAAACUGGGUCUAAUACUGGAUAGGACCAUGCUGUAGGUGGUGUGGUGGAAAGAUUAGUUUCGGUAAGGGAUGAGCUCGCGGCCUAUCAGCUUGUUGGUGGGGUAAUGGCCUACCAAGGCGUCGACGGGUAGCCGGCCUGAGAGGGUGGACGGCCACAUUGGGACUGAGAGACGGCGCAGACGCCUACGGGAGGCAGCAGUGGGGAAUAUUGCACAAUGGGCGCAAGCCUGAUGCAGCGACGCAGCGUGGGGGAUGACGGCCUUCGGGUUGUAAACUCCUUUCAGCCAUGACGAAGCCCUUGUGGUGACGGUAGUGGUAGAAGAAGCACCGGCUAACUACGUG
rnacentral:rRNA from 1 species